rnacentral:lncRNA from 1 species
GGGAUGGGAGCAGGAGGUGGCCUCCUACAGCUACGGCAGAGGAGUGUCCGCGCAGCGCGGUGAUACGACGGGCCAGCGCGGCAUCCGGGGGCGCAGGGCCGGGGCUGGAGGCUUCCGGGAACCCCGGUCCCUCGGCCGCUGAACCCUGACACCCGCCAGAUAAGCUCUAUCGCAGCGGCCAGAGCCGGGAACAGCCGGAUACAGGGGCCACCGAGUGCAUUCCCAGAACCAGCAUCCGCGGUGGUCAGAGGGCUGCAGGGAGCUCCGUCCGCCCGCGGUCAGUGACAACCAGCCGGCGCCGGGCAGCAGCGGAGCUCGGUCCCGGAGGUCCAGACCGGCUCCACGCAGGCUGAUUGGCCAGCGAGCUUCAGGGGCCCACCUGCCUCUUCCCAGCGCUGACAUCAGAGUGUGC